rnacentral:rRNA from 1 species
GCGCGCCUAACACAUGCAAGUCGAACGAGCGAGAGAGAGCUUGCUUUCUCAAGCGAGUGGCGAACGGGUGAGUAACGCGUGAGGAACCUGCCUCAAAGAGGGGGACAACAGUUGGAAACGACUGCUAAUACCGCAUAAGCCCACGACCCGGCAUCGGGUUGAGGGAAAAGGAGCAAUCCGCUUUGAGAUGGCCUCGCGUCCGAUUAGCUGGUUGGUGAGGUAACGGCCCACCAAGGCGACGAUCGGUAGCCGGACUGAGAGGUUGAACGGCCACAUUGGGACUGAGACACGGCCCAGACUCCUACGGGAGGCAGCAGUGGGGAAUAUUGCACAAUGGGGGAAACCCUGAUGCAGCGACGCCGCGUGGAGGAAGAAGGUCUUCGGAUUGUAAACUCCUGUUGUUGAGGAAGAUAAUGACGGUACUCAACAAGGAAGUGACGGCUAACUACGUGCCAGCAGCCGCGGUAAAACGUAGGUCACAAGCGUUGUCCGGAAUUACUGGGUGUAAAGGGAGCGCAGGCGGGAAGACAAGUUGGAAGUGAAAUCUAUGGGCUCAACCCAUAAACUGCUUUCAAAACUGUUUUUCUUGAGUAGUGCAGAGGUAGGCGGAAUUCCCGGUGUAGCGGUGGAAUGCGUAGAUAUCGGGAGGAACACCAGUGGAGAAGGCGGCCUACUGGGCACCAACUGACGCUGAGGCUCGAAAGUGGGGUAGCAAACAGG